UUUAACAUGAGAGUUUGAUCCUGGCUCAGGAUGAACGCUGGCGGCGUGCUUAACACAUGCAAGUCGAGCGAAGCAAUUUAAGUGAAGUUUUCGGA
rnacentral:rRNA from 2 species